rnacentral:rRNA from 1 species
AUUGAACGCUGGCGGCAGGCCUAACACAUGCAAGUCGAGCGAGCGGCGGACGGGUGAGUAAUGUCUGGGAAACUGCCUGAUGGAGGGGGAUAACUACUGGAAACGGUAGCUAAUACCGCAUACCAUCAGAUGUGCCCAGAUGGGAUUAGCUAGUAGGUGGGGUAACGGCUCACCUAGGCGACGAUCCCUAGCUGGUCUGAGAGGAUGACCAGCCGCACUGGAGCUGAGGCACGGUCCGACCGCCUACGGGAGGCAGCAGUGGGGAAUAUUGCACAAUGGGCGCAAGCCUGAUGCAGCCAUGCCGCGUGUGUGAAGCAGGCCUUCGGGUUGUAAGGCACUUUCAGCGGGGAGGCGUUACCCGCAGAAGAAGCACCGGCUAACUCCGUGCCAGCCGCCGCGGUAAUAC